rfam:Wallemia ichthyophaga EXF-994 unplaced genomic scaffold scaffold27, whole genome shotgun sequence.
GUUAAGUAAUUAAAGGAUUUACGAUGGAUGUCUUGAGGUCUAAUUUUUGAGAGGUCAAUAGUACCAAAAGUGUAUUUAAUUAAUAGUUUUUAAUACACAUUCUCUGGUGAAAACUUUGUUUUAUUUACUUCGGGAACAGAAUCAUCUAAUUACCGAAAGGAAAAGAAAUCAACCGAGAUAUUGAUAGUAACGGCGAGUGAAUUCAAUAAAGCCUUUCUAAAAAUAAAUCAAAUAAUAUUUUGGAAUAAAUAAUUAAAAAAUCAGUUUGAAACUGACAAUAUAAAGUGAUAGUCUUAUAUUUGGUUUAUUAAUAGAUAUAUAAUAAGUAAUAUGGGUAAAACUGUAUGAAUGUUCUUAUAAAUAUAAGAAUAAAUAAGGAGUUAUCAUCUUCUAAGGCUAAAUAUGAUUAGAUCAUCAAUAGUGAAGAGUAACGUGAGUGAAAGAUGAAAAGACAGUCGAUGACUUGUGAAAAAGAUCCUGAAAUCGUAAAUCUAUAAGCAGUCAGAGUCUAAUUAAAAAAAUUGGAUGAUGAUGUACCUUUUGCAUAAUGAGUCAGCGAGUAAAUAUUAAUAGCAAGAUAUAAAAGAAGUCCUAGUGAAAACGACUUAAUCAUUUUUAAUGGUUAUGGUAGAAGUUAUUAAUAUUUGACCCGAAACCUUAAGAUUUAGCCAUGGUCAGAUUUAUUGGAUCGAACAGGUGAGUGUUGCAAAACUCUCUGAUGAACUGUGGCUGGCGAAGUGAAAGACAAAUCUGUUGAGGAUAGCUGGUUCUCCACGAAAUAUAUCUUAGUAUAGACUGUAAAGAAAAAUUCUAAUCCUGUACAGCACUGAUAUUCAUAUCAUUUUUGAUUAAAUAGGGGGGUUUAUUAAACUCUACCUUUGAAUGUUAACCUCGGAAUUGGUUAGAAUGAUAUUACAGAUUCAGACUAUUUGUGAUAAGGUGGAUAGUCAAAAGGGAAACAGCCCUGAACACAUGUUAAAGUUCUUAAAUUAAUAUUAAGUGAAUGUAAGGAUGUUUUAAUUCGAUGACAGUUAUGAAGUGUAUCUGGAAGUCGUAAUCUAAUAAUGAAAGUGUAACAACUCAAUAACCUACUGGUAUUUUAUUUAGAAAUAAAUAAUUUACUGAAUUGAAGCGCCGAAAAUUCAUAGGAUCUUUAAAUAUUAUACUGAUACUGUGUUUGCAUAUAAAAAGUAUAUGUAAGGUAGUGGAGUGUUCUAUUAUAGGACGAAGGUUAGUUUUUAUAUUAACUGGACUUAAUAGAAGUAAUAAUGCUGAUAUGAGUAACGUAAUAACAGGUUAAACCCUGUACCUCUUAAGCGAUAGGUUUCUUAUUAAAUGUUAAACAGAAUAAGUUUAAACGGUCUCUAAGGUAAAUAAACUUAUGUUUAUGACUGAUGAGGAAUUUAUAUAAAAAGUUUUUCUUUAAAAACUCAGGAAAAUGUAUAAAUAUUCACCGUACUAAAAACCGACACAGGUUCGCGCAUAGAGUAUAUCAAGAGGUGAAUCAAUUACCCUUAAGGAACUCGGCAAAUUGCACUCGUACGUUAGACAAUAAGAGUGACCACACUAAGGGGUAUCAUACAAUCGGGACCUGCGACUGUUUCCCAAAAACACAGAUCUCUGCAACGAUUAAUUUCUUAGUAUAGGGAUCGAGUCCUGCUCAGUGCCAAGACGCUAAAUAGGUAACUCUAAUUAAUAGUUAGGGAAGACUUAUAACGUCUGGUAAUCAGCAGUCUUAACUAAAAGGAUUCUAAGGUAGCUAAAUUCCUUGGCAGAGGUCAAUAGUACCAAAAGUGUAUUUAAUUAAUAGUUUUUAAUACACAUUCUCUGGUGAAAACUUUGUUUUAUUUACUUCGGGAACAGAAUCAUCUAAUUACCGA